GACGAACGCUGGCGGCGUGCUUAACACAUGCAAGUCGAACGGAAAGGCCUGCUUUCCCUUGUGGAUUGCGGGUACUCGAGUGGCGAACGGGUGAGUAACACGUGAGUGAUCUGCCCCCAACUUGGGUAUAAGCCUGGGAAACUGGGUCUAAUUCCCGAUAGGACUGCAGGGUGGUGCCUGUGGUGGAAAACGAUUUUCUAGUGGUUGUGGAUGAGCUCGCGGCCUAUCAGCUUGUUGGUGGGGUAAUGGCCUACCAAGGCGGCGACGGGUAGCCGGCCUGAGAGGGUGGACGGCCACAUUGGGACGGAGAUACGGCCCAGACUCCUACGGGAGGCAGCAGUGGGGAAUAUUGCACAAUGGGCGGAAGCCUGAGGCAGCGACGCCGCGUGGGGGAUGACGGCCUUCGGGUUGUAAACUCCUUUCGACCGCGAGGAAGCCACCUGGUUGGAAGGGUGGUGACGGUAGUGGUAGAAGAAGCACCGGCUAACUACGUG
rnacentral:rRNA from 1 species